rnacentral:rRNA from 1 species
AAAAAUUUAAAGGCCGCGGUAAUUUGACCGUGCAAAGGUAGCAUAGUAAUUAGUUUCUUAAUUGGGAUCUUGUAUGAAUGGUUGGACAAGAAAAAAUCUGUCUUUAUAUUUAUUAUUGAAUUUAACUUUUGAGUGAAAAGGCUUAAAUGAAUUAAAGGGACGACAAGACCCUAUAAAACAUUAUAUUGGGGUGAUAAAGGUAAAAUUGAUAACUGCUUAAUUUUUAAAAACAAAAAUAAAUGAAAUGAUCCUAAUUAAAGAUUAAAAGUUUAAGUUACUUUAGGGAUAACAGCGUUAUUUUUUUUGAGAGUUCAUAUCGAAAAAAAAGUUUGCGACCUCGAUGUUGAAUUAAAAUUUCUAUAUAAUUGCAGCAGUUAUAUAAGAAGGUCUGUUCGACCUUUAAAUUUUU